rnacentral:tRNA from 1 species
GAGGGUAUAGCUCAGUGGUAGAGUGUAUGCUUAGCAUGCACGAGGUCCUGGGUUCAAUCCCCAGUACCUCCA